GCCUAUGUAGCUCAGUUGGUAGAGCAUCUGACUGUUAAUCAGAAUGUCCUAGGUUCGAUCCCUAGCAUAGGCGCCA
rnacentral:tRNA from 16 species